rnacentral:misc_RNA from 1 species
GAAAUCCCGGGCAACUGGGAGAGUAAAGUGGCGCACGGGUGAGUAGCGCGUGGGUAAUCUACCCUUAAGUUGGGAAUAACACCUCGAAAGGGGUGCUAAUUCCGAAUAACGUCCCUGGGACCCCGGUCCUGGGGAUCAAAGAUGGCUGAGGCUUGCAAGCUAUCGCUUAAGGAUGAGCCCGCGUACCAUUAGCUAGUUGAUGGGGUUAUUUCCCACCAAGNCCGAAGUGGUUAGCUGGUCUGAGAGGAUGGCCAGCCACACNGGAACNCACGUCGCGGUCCAGGAAGNUANNNNANNCNUUCA